AGUGAACGCUGGCGGUAGGCCUAACACAUGCAAGUCGAACGGCAGCACAGUAAGAGCUUGCUCUUACGGGUGGCGAGUGGCGGACGGGUGAGGAAUACAUCGGAAUCUACUUUUUCGUGGGGGAUAACGUAGGGAAACUUACGCUAAUACCGCAUACGACCUACGGGUGAAAGCAGGGGAUCUUCGGACCUUGCGCGAUUGAAUGAGCCGAUGUCGGAUUAGCUAGUUGGCGGGGUAAAGGCCCACCAAGGCGACGAUCCGUAGCUGGUCUGAGAGGAUGAUCAGCCACACUGGAACUGAGACACGGCCCAGACUCCUACGGGAGGCAGCAGUGGGGAAGAUUGGACAAUGGGCGCAAGCCUGAUCCAGCCAUACCGCGUGGGUGAAGAAGGCCUUCGGGUUGUAAAGCCCUUUUGUUGGGAAAGAAAAGCAGCAGGUUAAUACCCCGCUGUUCUGACGGUACCCAAAGAAUAAGCACCGGCUAACUUCGUG
rnacentral:rRNA from 1 species